AGAGUUUGAUCAUGGCUCAGAUUGAACGCUGGCGGCAGGCCUAACACAUGCAAGUCGAACGGUAACAGGAAGCAGCUUGCUGCUUUGCUGACGAGUGGCGGACGGGUGAGUAAUGUCUGGGAAACUGCCUGAUGGAGGGGGAUAACUACUGGAAACGGUAGCUAAUACCGCAUAACGUCGCAAGACCAAAGAGGGGGACCUUCGGGCCUCUUGCCAUCAGAUGUGCCCAGAUGGGAUUAGCUUGUUGGUGGGGUAACGGCUCACCAAGGCGACGAUCCCUAGCUGGUCUGAGAGGAUGACCAGCCACACUGGAACUGAGACACGGUCCAGACUCCUACGGGAGGCAGCAGUGGGGAAUAUUGCACAAUGGGCGCAAGCCUGAUGCAGCCAUGCCGCGUGUAUGAAGAAGGCCUUCGGGUUGUAAAGUACUUUCAGCGGGGAGGAAGGUGUUGUGGUUAAUAACCACAGCAAUUGACGUUACCCGCAGAAGAAGCACCGGCUAACUCCGUGCCAGCAGCCGCGGUAAUACGGAGGGUGCAAGCGUUAAUCGGAAUUACUGGGCGUAAAGCGCACGCAGGCGGUCUGUUAAGUCAGAUGUGAAAUCCCCGGGCUCAACCUGGGAACUGCAUCUGAUACUGGCAGGCUUGAGUCUCGUAGAGGGGGGUAGAAUUCCAGGUGUAGCGGUGAAAUGCGUAGAGAUCUGGAGGAAUACCGGUGGCGAAGGCGGCCCCCUGGACGAAGACUGACGCUCAGGUGCGAAAGCGUGGGGAGCAAACAGGAUUAGAUACCCUGGUAGUCCACGCCGUAAACGAUGUCGACUUGGAGGUUGUGCCCUUGAGGCGUGGCUUCCGGAGCUAACGCGUUAAGUCGACCGCCUGGGGAGUACGGCCGCAAGGUUAAAACUCAAAUGAAUUGACGGGGGCCCGCACAAGCGGUGGAGCAUGUGGUUUAAUUCGAUGCAACGCGAAGAACCUUACCUGGUCUUGACAUCCACGGAAGUUUUCAGAGAUGAGAAUGUGCCUUCGGGAACCGUGAGACAGGUGCUGCAUGGCUGUCGUCAGCUCGUGUUGUGAAAUGUUGGGUUAAGUCCCGCAACGAGCGCAACCCUUAUCCUUUGUUGCCAGCGGUUAGGCCGGGAACUCAAAGGAGACUGCCAGUGAUAAACUGGAGGAAGGUGGGGAUGACGUCAAGUCAUCAUGGCCCUUACGACCAGGGCUACACACGUGCUACAAUGGCAUAUACAAAGAGAAGCGACCUCGCGAGAGCAAGCGGACCUCAUAAAGUAUGUCGUAGUCCGGAUUGGAGUCUGCAACUCGACUCCAUGAAGUCGGAAUCGCUAGUAAUCGUGGAUCAGAAUGCCACGGUGAAUACGUUCCCGGGCCUUGUACACACCGCCCGUCACACCAUGGGAGUGGGUUGCAAAAGAAGUAGGUAGCUUAACCUUCGGGAGGGCGCUUACCACUUUGUGAUUCAUGACUGGGGUGAAGUCGUAACAAGGUAACCGUAGGGGAACCUGCGGUUGGAUCACCU
rnacentral:rRNA from 1 species